GCUACCUAAGGCGCGAUCAGUUACCGGGUCUGAUAGUAUGACCCCGCCACACUGGGACUGAGACUCGGCCCAGAUCCUAACGGGAAGCAACCAAUGGGGAAAUUUGGGACAAUGGGCGCAAGCCUGAUCAAGCCAUGCCGCGUGUCUGAAGAGGCUUUCGGGUGUAAAGACUUAUGUUCGGGAGGAAUCCCGCUGGUUAAUACCUGGCGGGGAUGACAGUACCGGAAGAAUAAGCACCGGCUAACUACGUGCCAGCAGCCGCGGUAAUACGUAGGGUGCAAGCGUUAAUCGGAAUUACUGGGCGUAAAGCGUGCGCAGUCGGUUGUGCAAGUCUGAUGUGAAAGCCCCGGGCUUAACCUGGGAACGGCAUUGGAGACUGCACGACUAGAGUGCGUCAGAGGGGGGUAGAAUUCCACGUGUAGCAGUGAAAUGCGUAGAGAUGUGGAGGAAUACCGAUGGCGAAGGCAGCCCCCUGGGAUGACACUGACGCUCAUGCACGAAAGCGUGGGGAGCAUACAGGAUUAGAUACCUUGGUAGUCCACGCCCUAAACGAUGUUAACUAGCUGUUGGGGGUUUGAAUCCUUGGUAGCGUAGCUAACGCGUGAAGUUGACCGCCUGGGGAGUACGGCCGCAAGGUUAAAACUCAAAGGAAUUGACGGGGACCCGCACAAGCGGUGGAUGAUGUGGAUUAAUUCGAUGCAACGCGAAAAACCUUACCUGCUCUUGACAUGUAACGAACUUGGUAGAGAUAUCUUGGUGCCCGAAAGGGAGCGUUAACACAGGUGCUGCAUGGCUGUCGUCAGCUCGUGUCGUGAGAUGUUGGGUUAAGUCCCGCAACGAGCGCAACCCUGGUCAUUAGUUGCCAGCAUUACGGUAGGGCACUCGUAUGAGGCGGUCGGCCAG
rnacentral:rRNA from 1 species